rnacentral:rRNA from 1 species
AUUGAACGCUGGCGGCAUGCCUUACACAUGCAAGUCGAACGAGUGGCGGACGGGUGAGUAACAUAUCGGAACCUGCCUAGUAGAGGGGGAUAACUACUCGAAACAGUAGCUAAUACCGCAUAUUAUUCGAGGGGCCGAGAUGGGAUUAGCUGGUUGGUGGGGUAAAGGCGCACCAAGGCGACGAUCCGUAGCGGGUCUGAGAGGAUGAUCAGCCACACUGGGACUGAGACACGGCCCAGACUCCUACGGGAGGCAGCAGUGGGGAAUAUUGGACAAUGGGCGCAAGCCUGAUGCAGCCAUGCCGCGUGUAUGAAGAAGGCCUUCGGGUUGUAAAGGACUUUCGUCAGGGAAGCGGUACCUGCAGAAUAAGCACCGGCUAACUACGUGCCAGCAGCCGCGGUAAUAC